rnacentral:tRNA from 1 species
GGAGGGUUGCCCGAGCGGCCAAAGGGAGCAGACUGUAAAUCUGCCGGCGAUGCCUACGUUGGUUCGAAUCCAACACCCUCCA